UACGUAGGGACCAAGCGUUGUUCGGAUUUACUGGGCGUAAAGGGCGUGUAGGCGGCGUGGUAAGUCACUUGUGAAAUCUCUGAGCUUAACUCAGAACGGCCAAGUGAUACUGCCGUGCUAGAGUGCAGAAGGGGCAAUCGGAAUUCUUGGUGUAGCGGUGAAAUGCGUAGAUAUCAAGAGGAACACCUGAGGUGAAGACGGGUUGCUGGGCUGACACUGACGCUGAGGCGCGAAAGCCAGGGGAGCAAACGGG
rnacentral:rRNA from 1 species